rnacentral:lncRNA from 1 species
CUAAAUGACCAUUGACAUGUCACCCUUUUGCUUUUUACCAUUGCAGAAAUACUGAAUGUAAUCUUUACAAAGAAGCUUUACUCCAUAUAUAUACAAUUGGAUUUAUGGAAAUGAUAUGAUCCAUCAAUAUCUGAGAACAUUUCGCAACUGGCUAUUAAAAUGUUAUUGACUCUUUGAGUCAAUGUCAUAUAUUCUUGGACUAGGAGACUUUGAGCAAAAGAGGAGCCUACGGUGAAACCUAGAAGAGUAGUUGACAAGUAGGAGGCCUACUUCAUGGUUAUGCAAUUUAACAUCAUGCAGCUAAGAAUCCCUUCUCCAAGGAUCCCCUCUUCCUAGAAAGAGUUUUAGACAGUGAGAAGACCACAAAGUUUGAUGUAAGAAUAUCAUUCAUCUCAAGUCACAAUUGUAAGCCAAAGAGCAAAAUGAAAACAUGAUUCCUAUUAGACCUGAUGUUUUUGUUAAUUCUUUCAAUGAUCUGGUCAAAGCAACAACUAUCCAUAUAAGACUCCAAAGUUUGUCCAAUUGCUAGUACAUCUCAUACUUCAGGUACAUCUCAUGUUUGCAAUACAGUUUGAAUGAGGCUCUGUGUAGAAUUUGGAAGUAAUUUGAAGGUAUAGUUGGCUAAAGUCAUUUCCCUCCAUCUCAACAGAUUUCAACCAAAUUUCCUAUCAUCAUUACAAAAAUUUCAACAAAUUUUGUUCUAUGUUUGAUGUUUUAAAUAGAUUUAAAGCUCUUAACUUUAAAUUUAAUUUAUCAAGAGCAAUCAUAAGGAUUUUAUGGAUGCAGAUCAAUAUCUAUGCAUCUUCAUUGUAGAAUGUUUGGCCUUAGUAGUUUGACAUAUCAAUUUAAGCAUUGGUUCCUAGAAUACUUUACCUUCCUAAGGUGGAGAAUUGUUUCCUUUUGAGUUUUGCAUUUCUGCUCUGUUGCAAUGAUGGAAUUUGUCUUGAUAUCCUUCUAAUAUUGUAAUAUCUGGGAGAAAGCACUUAGAAUAAUUUUCUUGUUAUAUAUGCAAGACGAAUUAUCUUAUCAUGCCAUGCUUCUGUCGACCUUUUGGUUGCUCAUUAUGGUUGAUAUAUGUUUUCCAAUUUGUACACCCAAACGGCUCAAUAAAAAAAAAUUCUAUGCUCAAGCCUCUUGUUGCAACAAUUAGAAAGUAUCCAAUUUUUUCUUAUUAACUUCCAAUUGAAGAGACACAACUAACAUGCAUAAGUUGAAAUGGUAAAAAAAGAAUGUCACGAUUACUUAAGUUCUCAUCAAGAUGUAUAUAUUUCCUGCCUUGGGAAUCUGAAUAGCAUGCAAAACUUUAAAGAAAAUCCUUCUUUUCUAGUGAGCAAACUUGUAAGCUCCGCCACCAAGCAGAUGCAAUAUAAGAGUCUGCUGCCAAGCAGAUGGUGAUGCACUGGACCAUUGGCACUUGAUUUAUAUGAACCCAAUUAUCAAAAUAAAUAAUAUAUUAUUUGCAGUUGUUUUUUUGUUUUUUAUUUUUAUUUUUUGCUUUGACGGGUUCUUCAUACAAUGUGCAUACGGAUACACCCAAGUUUGCAGUUGUUUAAUUGAUUACCUUAUAUUUUGUCAGUUAGCAUAAAGAUGAUGUAAGAAAAUCCUCUGGUUUUAAAGCCUUUAUCUGGUAUGUUUCUGUUUUUUCAGUUAAAUGUUGCUUCACCAGCACCUCAGUGAAUUCAUAUAUUCUUUAAUGCAUAUAAUGUCUUUCCAGGGCAGUUAAUUGUAGCAUCUCUUCUAAGUAGAAACACCAAAUUGCGGUUACUUCUAAGAGAUCCUACAAAAGCUACAUCUUUGUUUGGUAAUCAAGAUGAGAACACGUUAGAGGUGUGGUAAUCAAGUUGGUUAUUUAACAUGUUAACGCAUUUCCUUUAUUUUAAUGUGUUAACUUAUUUACUACUCUGGUACUUGCCUUUAUAUUCUAACUAUAGUUUUGAGGUGUUGUUAUUUGUAAUAGGUAUGGAAAGGGGACACACGAAAUCCGAGUGAUUUAGAUCCAGCUGUAUUUGAGGUUAGUCAAUUUGAUUUCUCAUUCAAGUUUUCAGUUUCAAGAUAUAAAAAUAUCAUUUCUAUAUGUUGCUCAAAAAAAUUAUCAUGUUGGCUGUCAAAUUAUUUAUGACUGCUUUAUUAAAUCAAAUUAUAGGAUUCUUGUUUCAUAGGGAGUCACACAUGUAAUUUGCUGCACCGGAACCACAGCUUUUCCUUCAAGGCGAUGGGAUGGUGACAACACACCUGAACGAGUGGGUAGGUAUAAUGCCCCUACAGAUUUCACCUACUUGUUUAGAAAAAAAAACUGUAUAAACUUUUAUAUUACUAGAUGACAAUGACCUAAUUCCAGUUAAAGAUAUGAGGUGCAAUUCCAUAACCAUGUGUUCCUCAUAAAAUGAAAACAAGAAGGAAAAUAAUAGAGGAAAAGGUUAAUGGGCAUAAGAUCAUGUUAAAAUUAUUCAAUAUGAAGAUGCAGUAAGUUUCUCAAAUAAUUCCCUCAUAUUGUAGCAUCGACAUUCUUCCUUGACAAAUGCUAGUCCAAUCUGAUUGCCUCUUUGACAAACAUCUCAUAAUAACAGGGUUUUCCUCUUCAAUUCCUUUAAUAACAACUAGUGAUUUACACAAUUGUUUUCUGUUUUAUUCCUUCACUUUGAAUUGAGUCCAGCUCUUUUCUUUUUAUAUUUUGCCUUUAGGUACUUUCUCUUUGACUUUUCAAAAGCCAAAAUAUUUCAAUCACCCUAUGAGAAUUUGUAGCAUGAUAGUUUGGAAAACUUUACGUCCUUUCAACUUUCUCAAAACAUAAUUGUUGUUUGAAGAUUGGGAAGGAGUACGGAAUCUUGUAUCAGCAUUGCCUCCAACAUUGAAGAGAUUCAUUCUUGUGUCAUCAGUUGGUGUUACAAAAUUCAAUGAGCUUCCAUGGAGGUAUGUAUUAUCAUUUAUUACAUAUUUGAAAAUUUUGAUGAUAUUGAGAAUGUAGAUUUAAACAGUGUCAGGCAUAUUUUGGAACUAACUAAAACAAUAGUCUCUUAGCCAAUACCUUUACCGUUAUGAGCAUCCGUGCUGGUGUCUGUUCAGUCCCAAAUUGGUUUUUCACCGAAUAGAUCUUGGAUACAUAUAUGGGACUAAGAAAUAUUGUUACAAAUGGUAUUAGAGUGGACCAAUCCAUGGUCCAUGUGGAUGAGAAAAAACUACAGCAAGGACCCUUUGCAGGAUGACCAUAGGCCGAUCAUGUUAUUUGUGAUUUGAUUUUAUGGGAUUUGGACUCAGCCUACAAAGAUGUCAAACCUUAAACAGGAGAUUGUGUGAGAUCCCAUGAGGGUGCGUGCUUAGUCUUACAUCGAUUAUGCACCAAAUGUUACAACCCAAAACCUCACCUAGAAAAGCUAGCCAGAAGGUAUUAUUUGGAUUUUUUAGCCCUAUAUCAAUACUCAAGAUCUACCCAGUGCAUAGCCAAUGUGAGACUAAACACAUGCUCGUACGGAUCCUCACAUACUCUCUCCGUUUAAGCCAUGGCAUCCUCGCCAAGCUAAGGGUUCAAAUCCAUUUAACUCUAAUCACAAACACCAUGAUUGGCCCAUAGUUAGUCCCAAUGGGCAUGUGCUGCAGUGUUUCCUAGUCCAUAUAGCUAUGGGCUGGGUCUGCUUUGAUACCAUUUUGUAACAACCUAGGAUCUCAUCCAAAAAAUCUAACCAUAAGGUAUUAUUUGGAUUUCUUGGCCCUGCAUAAAUAUCCACGAUCUACCCAAUGCAUAGCCCAUGUGAGACUAAAGACAUGCCCAUACGGAUCCUCAUGUCGAAUAGAUCUUGGGUAAAUAUACAAAGUCAAACAAUCCAAAUAAUUCCCUUCAUAUUGCCUUUUUGAGUGUGAUCCUGGAUUGUUACAAGCUUCCUAACAGUCGUCGUUUGUCUCCUAUUCUAGUCAUUGAUACUAUAUAAUAAUAAUUAGUUUAUACUGUUCAAGUUUCAUCUGCAAAUAACCAAGAAACUGAUUGCUAAUGCGCCAAAACACAUAGCAGCGAUAUAAAGUUCUAUAAGGUUGAAUAUGCUGAGCCUUGCUUGCAAUGCUCGUCUUAGAACACAAUUUCUUUAAUCCAAAAAAAAUUGUAAAAGUGCUUAACAUGGCAUGUUGAUGCAUAGUCAAAUGAUAUAUGCAUUCUCGGUUAUGCUUCAUGUAUGCUUGUACCGCAGUUUUAGAAUUAGAUAAAAUAUUUGUGCAUUCAGUAGCUUAGCUUCUAAUGUUGUGGUUGUUCUGUUUGAGCAGUAUCAUGAAUCUCUUUGGUGUUCUUAAGUUUAAAAAGAUGGGCGAAGAUUUUGUUCGUAAUUCUGGCCUUCCCUUCACCAUUAUUAGGUAUGUAAUAUGUUUAUAUUUUGUAGACAAUAAUCUAUGUUUAUAUGAGGCCAAGGCUGUGAGAGAGGCCUAUUGACUGCUACCAUGUAGCUUUUUGGCCCUUUCUCAAUGUCAAAAAGAAAAUGGAAAGAGAGCUCAUCUUCUUGCCAUUUUCUUUUGAUAAUUAUUUUGACCUGUAUGUAUGUAUAUGCGUGUUUGUAUCGCCAGGGUUAUUAUCUUUUUUUGUUGACAGAGUAUGGCUACAUUUGCCAGGGCUGGAAGAUUGACUGAUGGACCAUACACUUCAUAUGAUUUAAAUACAUUGCUUAAAGCAACUGCAGGGAAACGACGUGCAGUUGUCAUAAGUCAAGGUAUCUCUUAGUUAGACCUCUUGGAUGAAAUAGUCCUAAUUGUCAUGAUUUUUCAGAAGCUUUAAUAUGCUAGGAAUAUUGUCAUAUAUGAAUUCCAUAUGUACACAUACUGUUUUGUCAUUUAUACAUCACAUAUUAUAUUAUAGGGCCAUGGUUUGUUGUAUCUGUAUAUGUCAUUUUGAUCUAAACCUUCUUCAUCAAGCUUCAUUAUCAUCUUCCUAAGUUUCUUUUUAUCGCUCUGGAGUGUCUCUAGUUAGUCAGAAUCACCAAUGGAGGUUAUUGCCAUUGCAUUUGACUGUUUUGCCAAGAGCAUUGCAUGUCAGAUAGGCUCCAUUACAACAACCUCAUGAGCUGAUUCCUUUGGAUCAUGGCCAAAAUCUUAUAGACUAACUAUAACCAUCACUAGAGAAAGUUCCAUAUGCACAAAUUUAUCAAGAGUCUUACUUUCCUACAAAGAUGAGAGCAGUAAUGGUGUUACCAUGGUAUGUCGUAUCAUACCGAACCGGACAGUACCAAACGUACCGUACUAUACUGAUUCAGUACCAGUACCGGUACCGGUACUGGUGGCAUACCGACACUCGGUACGCCAAAAAAAUCACAUAUCAUACCGUACUGAUAUUAUAUUAGUGUGGCACUGGUAUGGGGUCCGAUACUGAGACGGCAAACCUUGGAUGUCGCCCAUUUAGUCUUCGUUGUCAAGUACUACCAUUCAUUUAACUCUUUUCUACUUGGUGGAGGCACUUUUCAUCUCCUUUGUCAGCCACGGAGGUCAAUAUUGCUACCAACUUGUUACAUUGGAGAUAACCUCCUCCCCAGCUCCAAAAUACACAUGAACGCAAACAUAUUCCUUGAAUUCCUUGUAUUGUUGAGAUGUUGUUGAUUGUUGAUGAACAAAGCGAAUGACUUUAUAGCCUCAAAUUUCGAGCUUAUUUGGAGUUGUCAUUAUUUGUUCCCAUAGGCGUAAAGAUCUCAUUUUGUGUUUCUAUGGAGGUCUAAGUGGCUACACACUUUUAGCCUCAAAAGUGGUCAGAAUCUGGCAGUUUUCAUUUGUUGUUUAAUCUUUAUUGUGUUGUUGUUUGCUUCACCCUUAUCGUCACCUAAGGAUUCAAGACUUUUUAGCCAUACCAUAUAGUAUGUUUAUUUCAAAGUGGUUGUUCUAUAAUUUGGGUUAAGCUUUUCUAUUCCAUCUUAGAUGGUUCUUUUGGUUUUCUCAUUAUCCCUUUUUACACAUUUUCUCUCCCUUGAUAGCUGCAACAUUAGGUUGGCAUAGUCUUUCUAUUUUGUUGAUUUCUUCUCUGCACCAAAUUGUCAACACUUGGUCUCUUUGAUACUCUUCAUGGUACACUAUACUGGUUGGUACCAGGCACACUAUACUAUAAUGGUAUCGAACUGAUACGUGGUUCAGGAGGUGUAUUGAGUGUUGGUACACUGAACCAAAUCCCAUACCAAGCAUAUCGACAUCGUACAAGAAUGGUACUAGUGCUGGUUCUGGUACAGAGAUGCAAACCAUGAUGCACUUUAUCUUGUUUGUGAUUUUUCCUAUGGCACCUUUUCUUUAUUUUUUAUUUUAUCCAAAUAUCAUGAUGUUUCAACAUGUUGACAUUAUUCAGAGCCAAUUUCUUCAAUUUAUAUCCAUUCCUGGAUGCGGGUAACAGAAUUGAGCAUUCUGUCAAUCUUCAUGCACAUUUCAAGGAAUUUGAUUUGUAGGUUUCUUCAAUGGCUCUUGUUCUAAAAAUUCCUGUUCUAAAACAUAAAAUGAUACACAUACCAACUCCAUGAUCUCUUCAUUCUUUAAGCCAGCUGCUCCUUGCAUAUGACCUUGGGGAAGCUCUCCUUUUAUUCCUUCAUCCUCAUCCUUCAAAUAUCUGAAAUGUGGACUCAAGUAUUGCUUUUGACCAUGUAAGUUUGUGGAUCCGAAAGUAGAACUGUGGAACCUUGGCAUGGGCCAAGUGUCAUAAGUGUGACACUGAUUCAACUAGUAUUUGUUAUUUUUGGACUUGUAACUUUCUUGUUAUAUUCAUUUAUUAAAGAAAAGAAAUUUAAAGAAUAAGAAAAUCAAUUGUUACAGAAGCUCCAUUUCUCAUUGGAGCAAGGUUAUUGUAAACCAAUUGAUGGUUUAUUAUUUAGAGAAUUUGUCAAAGGAAAUUUUUCUUUCCAUGGGUAUCUCUUGUUCUAAAGAUGCAGUGUUGGAAAUUUUGUUAUGAUAAUUUUUGGCAUUUCUUAAUUGAUUUUCUUGAAGACAUGAAGGUAAUGGCAUGAAUAAGAUUUAUAGGUGUCACCUAGUUUGAGGCAUUCUAUGGUUGGUGAUAUCAUUACAGUGGAAUCCACUGCAUGGUACAUCGUGUCUGUGCCUUAUUACCAAGAUAUAACUGAUCAAGAUUUUAAAUCUCAUGGAAAAGGACUGUCCCGGUUUUCCUAUGGAAUUGGACACACCGUCAUCCCGCCCUGUCCCGACACUAAGGUUAGAGAAUGUCCUAAGAUAUGCCGAUCAAAAGGCGGGGACAAUGAUGGGACGGUCCCGGCCUGACACUCGAGAUGGUAACGGUACCCUGUCUCAGUGUGCUGCAGGAUAUCCUACCGGGCCUUGAAUCCUUGCAGCUGAUCACUUCAUAUCCUUCUUGAAGUGCAUGAAGAGCAUCCUGGUUGAAUCAGAAGAGCAAGCCCAGAUGGAAUGAAAAAUUGUAUCAAGUCUCGAAACAGCAUAGUGGUCUCUCCUGAGUUCUUUUCAAGUAAUUGAUGGAGAGACUUGCUAGUUUUUUGAUGCAUGAUAUUCCAUUCAUACUACCUUUAGUGAGCAUGAAUGGUGUGAAAUAGAUCCGUAUGAGAUGGUCUCGAGUUCCAGACAACCUCUCAUACGAUGAAUGUUGUUGUUCAUCAGUAGAUGUCUUCAUUGGUGCACGUAUUAUCCAUAUGUUAGAACCUUUUUGCUACUUGAAAAUAUGCCAAUUGCAUGGGAAGAUGCAUCUAUUUUGUAAGAAGUGGCUUUUCUUUUUUUCUCAAAAAGAGAUCUCUUAACACACACACACACACACACACACACACACAUAGAGAGAGAGAGAGAGAGAUCAGCCUUUUAUAAACAACAAAUAUGAAAAAUAAGAUUAACUCAUUUGUCUUCAAAGUGCAUCUCCAGCAAGGCAUUGCUAUCUCAACAGCUUAGAGUGUUGCUUCAUGUGUCAAGCAAGAAAGAUGUGAUUAAUUUAGCUGCCUUUCCAGUUCUCCAUCAUAAUUCUAAUUCAAAAAGAUCUUUAAGGAAAAUAAAAUGUUUCUUAUCUUCUUUGCACUUUAAAUGGAAAUCAUAUCAAAUCUCCUGAUUGCUGUAAAACACACCUUUGGAUGUCCUACAACAUACCAUCCCAAAGUUUCAUGAUAUCUAGGGCAUAACCUAAAUUGAGGACGCUGCAUUUCUGCUGGCUUUCUGGAAAAAAGGCAAGGUAUCAUUUACAGAUAUAUAUCCAAUCCUCUUGCAUUUUACUAAGAAGUUAACAGUGCAAAUAAUGUGCUUCUCUAUGAAAGGACCCAGCCUCAUAUAUUUCUACAAAUGAUGAAUUAAAAGUACUGCAAAAAAAUUUUCUUAACGUAUCAUCAUAUGUGGAUGUUUUUCUGCUUCAAUCUCUGGUUCAUUUUGAUAGUCAAUUUUUUCCAUUUCACAGGAGACAAACUUGUGGGAGAAGUUAGCAGACUUGUCGUUGCGGAAGCCUGCAUACAAGCUCUGGAUAUGGAAUUUACUCAAGGAAAAAUAUAUGAAAUCAACUCGGUGGAGGUAGUUAUACAUACUGAAUUCAAAGAAUGUGUCUUGAAGUAUUAUAUGCUUCUUUUUGUUAAUCCACUUCACAGACUUUCAAACAAACUGGUUAGUUUAUGCCUAAAAAAAGGGGGACCAAUUAGUUUUAUAUGCUAGAAGUGAAGCAUUAUUUUUUCGAGGAAUGAAAGUUAAGCAUUAUAAUUAACUAUUUUUUAUGUUUAAUUACCUAAUGUUUCUUGCAGGUAUUUUAUUUUGCGAUCUGUCUUUAUUUAAAACUUUAAAAAAUCUCGGCAUACUUUAAGAAGUUGCAAUCUUCACCUCUGGAUUCCUAAAAUGGCUAACUUGGACUAACGCAGGGAGAGGGACCUGGAAGUGAUCCUGAGAAGUGGAGAGAGCUUUUUAAGGCUGCUGCUGAACUUAAUUAGUGGGUUUCAAGACAGUUCUUCUCUAAUAACAUGUUAGAAGGGCAAUAUUCUAUGUACACUUGUAUCACUAUGAUUUGAUCAUUUACAUUCCUACUUCUGUUACUUGAUACAAGCAAUUUUAAGAUUUGUUUCUAAGACGAGAUGACCAAGAUAAACUCUGUUUUCAGAAACAUAACAUAGUGUAAAUGAAUAUCGAUUGUAAUUUUCUUAUUGGGAUCAAAAUCUCUCCGUGGAGGUGCAUCUAGUGAGGGCCUAAUGCCAUUAUCAAAGUAUUAUCAGUUACUUUAGCUGAUUUAUAUAUCCAACAAAGGUAGUAUGCAAUCCGAGGUUUACGAUACGACCAGCAUGAGAAUUUGCCAAUAGGCAUAAAGGUAGUAAUCAAUCUGAGGUUUCCAAUACAACCAGCAAGAAAAAUUUGCUGCACCCUCAAGCCAAAUGAUUCAGCUUUCUAGGAUAGAGAAGAUACCGGAAGACCUCAAUGUUGGCUCUUCUAAAAUAAAAAAGAAAGAAAGAGGAAAUAAAAUGAGAAAGAUUGUCCUGGCACAUCAUUCUCUUCUCACUUAUAUUAGAAGGCGAAGUGGUUAUUUCUUGCUUUAGUUCUUGUUGAAAUAAAUAAAAAUUCCACUCAAUGAGUUAUGAUUUCCAUGUUAAGGUUUAUUUUAGCUUUCUAAUGUAUAUCAUCUCCAUAAUAACAAGGUUAAACAGUAUGCUUCCUGCUCAUCCCAAUGAAAAGUACGAUGACACCACAACUACCUUGCAGUCCCUGCUUACAUCUUAAGCACGCGAUGAGAAUAAUCUAAUGCAAGAUACAGCUAGCAGGUAUUGUGAUCAACUAGGCCAUAUCAAGUCUCAAAAAGCCAAAAGAUUCGUCAAAAAUCCACGGCCAUAGAUAUCAACAACUCAAUAUUUGAUUGCCCGUUAUGGUUGGUGUUAGUUUUUGCUAGAGUUUUAUGGUUUGUGGCUGAAAAAAUUUAGUAUGUUACUCAUGGAUUCAUUAUCCUUUUUUAAGGAUUUUGUGCAGAUUACAUGCCCAAAUUAGGGUUGUGUUCUAUAUAUCCUUCUUAUAUUUAUAUGAGACAACAAGCGGUUCUUUAAUCCAUUGCUUCUUUGAAUUUGUGUUUACAUUGUGGUACUCCACCACCUUGGCAAACAAGCACUUGGCACAUGACAGGAGGAGGCGAGCAGCAUUCUUGCCGUGACCAUCUGAGCUGCUCGGUGUCAACUUCUUCAGUGUGUUGCAUAGGUUGAUUUAGAACUUAGGAUUCAAAGGAGAAAUAAUAUAGCCACUAAGGUGGUAGCAUGGUUGGAACGGGGUUAAGAUUCUACCAAAGUGGCCCAGGUUCGAAAUGCACGGGUGUCGAUUAAAUGUGGAGACCGGAUGCCUCCUGCCUGGUCGGUCCGGUGGAGUCGCCAUCUGGUUCGCCGGUACUGAGGUGGCGCUGGGGUGACGUACUCAUACGUGGGGUAACCCACGGGUCGGAAAGGGUAUGAGUAAAGGAUAGCCAUCUUGUCUACCUGCAUCGAAUCUUUUCUAGUGAAAGGGGGGCCCAAUGGGAGCUGCUACGCGGAUGGGGUUUCACCUCUCCCCCCCUCCUAUUUUUUCAGCAAAAAAAAAAGGAGAAAUAAUAUAGGAGAUGAGCAGAGUGGAUAAAAGGAGUUGUUAUUCACUAUGGGGAGUAGAGAAUGCAACUUUAAAUAGUUGAGUAAUGAGGGCAUCUCUCUUAUUUAUAAAGCUUGGCUAUGUAAUACAGUGGUUAGGAGUUGCCACUUUUUAUCCAUUUAACAAUCAAAAUAUUCUAAAUAUAAGAUAUUUACAAGAAAUAUCUAAGCUAUUAGAAAUAUCUUACAAAGUUCCUAAAAAAGCCUCAAUAGAUAUCUAGAGCCGUAGGGAAUGUCCAAUAUGUCUAGAAAACUCCAUACUCUUUUAUCUAGAGUUGUAGAGAACUUUGAAUUUCUCUAGUGAGGGUUCAUUUGGUUGGGAUGUGUCAAAUUAUGAGGUAAUCUGAUGAUUUCUGAAAAUUAUUUAUCUAAAAAAAUAAUUGCUGAAAAAAUCAAUGUUUCCAUGUUUGGUUGAUGAAAAAUUACUUCGAAAAAUGGUACUCGAAAAGGAUUACUAUAUUUGAUUGAAGGUUAUCUUAUGUAAAAAUAUUAUUAAUUUUUAAUAAUUCUCUUGAAUAAAUAAUUUGGGUAAUAAUAUUUUUUUCUCAAUCUAUUUGUUGGCCAUUUAUGGCCCGCUUACACAAAGUUAUUAAUACUUUCAAAUAUUUUAGAAUUAAUUAUAUAUUAAAAAAUAUUUCUUAUUAUAAAUCAAUUUUAGUAUGUUUUGGUAUAUAAAUACAUAUAUUAAUUAUUAAUAAAUCUUAUGUUAGAUUUGUUGAUAGUUAAUAAAUAUUUGUUAAUUGUUUAUUGAUUAUUAAUAUUUACUAAUAAAUAUACUAAUAUAUUAAAUAUAUUAAUAUUUAUAAAUAUUAUUAACUAAUAUAUUAUUAUAUUUAUAAUAUAUUAAUAUUAUAUUAAUAUAUUAUAAUUUUAGUUUAAUUAAUAUACUAUUAAUAUUAUAUUAAUAGUAUAUUAAUAGUACAUAAGUGAAGGUAUUUUUAUCAAAAAAUGAUAAUUUAUAUUACCUCCACUCUUACCACCCUUUUAGUGGUAUUUGUUUUGUCUUCUCUCUUAGAAAAAUAAACAUAGGACCCAUCAUUUAUUUUACUAUAUCUCUUAUCCACUUUUCGUACCAAUCAUGGUAAUCUGAUAUGGGUUUUAUUUUUUUAUGGCAAAUUAUUCCCAGCCAAAUGGGUCCUAAGAAAGUAUACACUUGUUCAGAAAAGCUUUUUCUACAUAAUAUAUUAGUUUUGGAUGCACGGGGGCAACCUCUCUCAAUUAAAGAGGAAAAGUGUUGAACUUUUAAGCUAGCUUUUGUAUCGAGGAUCCAAACAAGUCCAAUUCCAAAUACGAAUACAAAGACUAAUUACAAUCUAGCACAACAUCAUUAACCAUUUGCAUGCAACCUUUUCCAUGGGUCUAACCAACUCAAGGCAUUAGUGCGUCGGGUCCAUCUCCAAGGGUGUGUUUAGUUCACAUUGAAAUGGGAAUUAGAGUAGCCAUUUCCUCUAAUCGGAAUCAGAAUAGAAUUUGAAUACUAGGGAAGAGUAAAGAUUAGGUUUGGAGGAUUAUUUGUUUCUACCAUUGCCAGAGUUUGAAAUAAUAUGAAUAUGUGUAAAUCAAAAAGCAGGCCUUGCAUGUCAUAUAGGGUUAAUUCCUAUGGAUAUUCGGCUAUCUGUCACAUAUUCAACUUGAGCCAUUGGGCCGGGGCAUGGCAAUGGUGGCACAAAAUUUGAUGAUUUAUUAUAUAAUAUCAAAAUCUAAGAAAUAGAUUUAAAUAUUAAGCAUUAUUGUUUCAGAGAAAAUGUGUGGAAAAGUAUGUGCUUUAUAUGCUUGUAGUAUGUCUAAUAUGCACUCAAUAUUUGUACUUGUAUGAUUUUAAAAAUAAUUUCAAGUUUUAUCCAAGAAAAAUAUUCUAAAAAAAGUUUGAUCAAGAGAAUAGUAAAACAAUUUUAAGUGGAUCAAUGUGACGAUCCUAUGGUAGGAGUUAAUUUUAUAAGAAAAUAAAUUAUGUUCUCUUUUUUCUGCUAUUAUACAACAAAUACAAGUAAAUUAUUUUCUUGACAAAUGUUUCAUAAAAUUAUAACCAGCUAAUAUAAAAUAAAGUCCAAAGAAUUUUUGAUGGCCAUGCAGAAUAUAACCUUCUAUUUUAUAUCAAGCUACAUCUUACAAGCAAGAUGUUGUGAAAAGUUAUUGACAUAAAUUCAUUUUUACCUUUUCUGACAAAUAUGGUGAGGAUGCCAACACCAAAGAUCAAACCCUGGAGCUCUCCCAAAUGGAGAAGAAUGCAUAUUUGGUAAGCUAAGGUCAUUUGACCUUAAUAUGAAUUCAGUCAUGCAGAUCGGAAAAAAAAUAGUAAUGAUGAAUAAUCUUACCUAGAAUUUGAAAAUCAUAUUGCUCUAACUCUCUUUAAUUUUGCUAAAAAAUAUUAUCGAUACUUGCAAAUUAUAAAUCAUCUAAUAAUAAUCUUACAAAUCUAAGUUGUCAGCUACAAAUUUCUACAUAUAUUCUGAGAAACAACAAUUGCUUACGCGCCUUGCAUACAUCUUGAUUCAUUGAUUAGAACAUUCCAUUAGAGCAUUCUAUCAAACACUGUUAGAUAUCAUUUUGAACCCAUAUCUAGCAACUGAGAAAUCUUUUAAACAUGGAGCCAUCAUGCUACUUUGUCCUUGGGUUUAAAAAGAUGAUACUUUACAUUAUGGCAUCAUCAAUUUUCCUUGGAUUAUAACAAAUUGCCCUCAUUUUUAGACUCAUCAUCAACUUGACAUUUCAUCAAAGCUUUUCUUUUUACCCAUGCCUUACUAUUUUUCUUACCGAUUUGAUCAUUGGCUAGAGAGGUAUGUGUAUUAGAGGCAAGAUAUAUGUGCAUUAGAUGGGUAUCAUUGGAUUUUGGAAUUAGUAGAAAGUUUUGAAUGGCUAUGAUCGAAAAAAGAGGCUUCUAAUCAGUUUUGUGCAUCCUCCAUUUAACUCGGAAUCCUGACUCGCCAUUCUCCUUUCAAGUAGAUUGGUUAUUUGGAAGAGAUUGACUUGUUAGUCAAUACAAAAAUAAUAUAUAAUAAUUUAAAAUAAUCAAAUAUAUAAAAUAUAAAUUUUCUUAAAAAUAUGACAAUAUAUAUGAUAAAUUUUGGUAAUAAAAAUAAUUGCAAAAACAAUGAUAGUAACGGUAUAUUAUCAUUAUAUCCUUUUAUUUUUUACAUUGUAAAAAAACUAUAAUGACCAAGUAAAAUUCAUAUCACCACUUUAUUGUGGCUACCAUUUAACCUGUCUAAUGGUCAUUCUAGCAACCCGAGGCACAGGACUCUAAACCUUAUGCUUCUACUUUUAGCGCCCAAGACAACCUAUAUAGUAAAAAAUAAAAAAUACAAGAUCUAUUAAAAAGAAAUUCCCUUGUUUACUGUAGGCAUGAUUUCCAAUCUGGGAUGAAUUUUAAAUAGUUGUGGAGUAGAUAUGACAUCCAAAAUUCCAAAUCAAUGAUUAUAUACACUUGCAUGAGAGAAGGGGAGUGAAGAAAGUACUAAAUUGAGUAGCUUGAUGGAUUUUAGAAGUUUAAAAGUACUUAAUAGAUCAGUUUCACAUAUUUUAGGAAUAUAGGAGUAUUUUGAGAAGUAUUCUAGGAGGAAAAGUAUAGUUUAGUUAUCAUAGGAAAUAUAGAAGAAUUUUGAGAAGUAUUUUUGGAGAAAAAAUAUAUGUUAGAUAUUAUAGGGGCAUUCUAGGAAGAGGGUUGUAUUACUAUAGGGCCAUUUUAGGAGAAGCAUAUUUCAAGAAUAAAAAAGUUUUCACAUAGUUAUUACCCAACUUUUAUAGUUUUUAGGUUUACUAGUGUGCACCAAACUGUACAUAAAGCAAACUAUAGCCUACUAUCAAUGUGAAACCCACCAAAAAUUCAUCCGACCCACCUUAAAUUAAAAUUAUGUGGACUAGACUUGGAUUUGAAAACAUGACCCAAUUUGAAUAUGAAUUGGAUUUGGAUUAAUAAAUUCCUAUCCAAACCUAAACGAACUAGAAACAAUUCAAAAUUUGGACAAUAAGUAUCUCAAACCUUCCUCGAAUAUAUGAAUUUAGUUUUAUUUUUAUAAUAUAAAUAGCUUAUAAUCCUAAUCAUAAUGGUUGUGGUUAUCAAUCAAAUCUUAUGUAGGAUAUGUUUCCUAUAUCUAUAUUUUACUUGUUACUGUCCUGUUGUAUAAUAAGUUUGUGAUAUAUUAUAUAUUUAUCAUGGUUUAUAUUUGGGUUACUUUGACCUGAUUUAAACUGAAAAUCCAAUGAAUUUAUAAAGUUAAUUCAGUACCCAAUCCGAUCCAUUCUCAAAGAAAUUGGAUUAGAUUUGAAUUCAAUUUUUGGACCUCAUUCAAAUGUGGGUUGGCAUUGGGUUGUGUCCAUCCUUGAUCCAAUCCAAGCCGCCUGCAGCCCUGUAAAGCUAUGUACAGCGACCAACUUAUUAACCGUGCGAAAGCAUAGGCCUAAAUGGUAGGAACGGGCUUAAUGGAUCAGCUGACAAAUAAAGGGCCAAGCUUGUGCAAGAGACCCUAACAUUAGCUUUGCUAUUAGAAGUAUAAGUGGUGCACUAGUAGCAGUAGGUGAAGUCAGACUUUUUGAAAUGAUGGUUUCGAUGGCUAAAUUACAUACUGCAUGAGGACUGGUGCAUGCAAUAAAACAUCUGCUAGCAACUCGUAAAAUUCUCGAAGAAGACACUUUGACAAUAGUUAGAUGGUUAUCAAAUCCACCAAAUACAGAAACUAGCUCCCAUUCAUUAACACAUGAUUGCUAGAGUACUACUUUAUGGAUUGCUGUGUCAAAUAUUCCAUCUGAAUUUUCUCAUUUAUGUUUUCUAAUUCACAUAAUGUAUUUUCUAUAGUUUGCAUAAAUAAAUCCAGUUUUACCCAAAAAAAUAAUAUCAUUGCAGGCCCUUUGCAAUUGUUAUCCGAUGAAUAAGCAGGUCUAGCUAGAAGAAACAAGCUCAACUACUAUAGCUCGUGUUAGCUAAGAACAGAUUUACAAGGAACUCUACCCUAAUACGACUAGCAACCUCUAUGUUGUUUCCAAAUGAAUCAUGUUUUGCCAGUGAGAAGCUAUCAGCACUCAAGAUUUUAAACCCUGCAGCCAAAACCCCUAGUCCUUGCUGAUUCUCUUGCUGCAAACCCUAGUCAGCAAAUUCUAAAUAGUUACAGAAUAAAGAAGCCCGAUUGCCAUAUCACUGAUGAUUACUUACAACAUUUCUUUUUUACAAAAAAGUCAGCAUACAUCAAUCAGCACUUCUUGCUACAUGCAAAAGAAUGUAAAAGGUUUUAAGAACGCUGACUGUUGUUAGUAGCUGUCCUGAUUUGAGCAGCAAACGUUUAACCCAUUGGAAGGUGUGAACUUAUCAAGAACCCCAGACCAGCUUGAAGAUGUUCCUGCUAGCACUUGCACUAAUCAUUUUGCUUUGGUUCUUCAACAUCUCCUCCUGAGCACGUAUGUCCCCCUCCUUCAGCAUUACCAUCAGCAUAUUAUUAUUGACAAGACAAUGAAACUAUCGAUAACUAUAAACAAUGUUGGUACCUUCCAAAGAAAAUUAUACCUACAGAAGCUGGAAAGGUGAUAUGCAGCAUACAUAGUAAAAGCAUUGAGCUUACAGACAAGGCAUUGACACAACAUCUUAGCAAUCUUAAGAGGUUUAAAAUCCACAAAGAGAUCAAAAGUAGCGAUAGAAGAGGGUACCCACAAGCAGAGAGUAUGCUCGAGCCAGCGAUAAAACAGUUGGAUAGAGGUCUACAACAGCCAGGGCAACCUCUUCUGUUACUUGCGGAACCUGAAAUUUGGUAUCACUAGAUAUAAACAGCAUUUUAUGAUGGAAAAGGAUAUAAACAGUGUUAAAUAGCACUCAAGAAGAAUAAGUAGAUAAUACAAGAAAAGAAGAAAAGAUCAACUCCGAUCGCAGAAAAACUAAAUAUUUGGGGGGAAAAGGACAGCCAAUCUCCCCUCUUGCUAUAGAGGGAGAGGAUGUGGUAAGGACCAGGUAACAAUGAGUAGUACUUAUGCUGCAUAUUAUGAGGUAGGUUGUUUGGUGCAUUAGUUACAGCAUAAUCACCUGCAUGAGUUGGAGGGCAAAUACAUCACUCACGGUCAUUUUCUCAAGAUCUUGACACCUCUUAACAAACUCAUUGUAAGAGGGGCAGACUUUAGAGUUCUUGGUAUUCUCCCUGGAAAAGUGUGUGCUGUAAUACUGAGUUAUUGAUUUCGUAAGAUAACCAUAUUUCUUGACAGUGUCGACGAAGCCAACGGUCCUCUGCACGUCAAACCCUUCCAAAAUCUCUGUGGUGAAACAACUGAAAAUAUGGAUUUAAUUGACAUUAAGAAAAAAGAUAACAAGUACAACCUAUAAGACGACUAUACUCAUGAGGUAUUUACAAUACACCAAAUGAAGAUCUUAAAGAGAGGUAGACUAUAUAUUCAUGAUAUAUGGUUCCAUAAGUUGUCAAAAUGGUGGACAAGAAAAUUGAUACCAUCUUAUGUUCCAUAGUGAUUCAAAUUCCCCUCCAAAACAGGUAAACAAAUUGCAUCUUUCAUAAAGAACACAACCUAAAUCUAAAAGGAUGCAAUACCUUUUGUAGUCAUUGCAUCUCUGACCAGAAUAAACUAUUUAUGACAAUACAAACAAAUCUUAUAGCAUGGAUGAUAUUGACUCAGGUCCAUGAAGGUUUAAGAACAACGAACCUUAGCAACUGUAAGGAAAAUUUCUUUUGUGGCCUAAGAUACUUAGUUUGAUGCAUGAUGAUGUUUAUUGGACCAUGUGUUAUGCAUACUGGUCUCAAUAACUAUGCUCACAAGACUAAACUAAAAAAAGAUUAACCUCCCUAGUAUUCUGAUAGCUACUUUUUGAUGUUUUCAGAAUUUCUAGGUCACCAUAGAUGGCAUUUUGUGAAGCAUGUCUAAAGAAAAAAAGGUUAAAAUAUUCUUUUUUUAUGUAAAAAAAGGUUAAAAUAUUCAAUAUGUUGAAGACUAAAAGGAUCUGCUUGAGCUAGGUUUAAGAGCACCAAACAAUCUGACAUCAUCUAUGUUAUAUCAGUAAGUACCAUCUGAGUCUGUUUAAAGUGUAUCACAAAUUUUUGAAAUAUAUUACUUUUUUUUCUAGUUCAUCAUUUGAAACUGUACAAAGUGAAUUCUUGAUGCUUCAAUCUGAUAAUGCAGAAAAUUAUCACACUAAAAGAUAAAGGCAGCAAUAAAUUGACAAUAGAAAUUAGAAAUAUUGCUCGCCAAAAUAUAAAUAAUAAACAGCUUCAAAUGCUGAAAGCAUCAUAAAAGUUCUAAAAUAUUGUCAAAGGGCCGCGCAAAAUUAAACUACAAAAAGAAGUCAGCUAGCAGAGAUAAUAAGACAAAACAUUAAUUAAAAGGAGACCCACAGAUGACAUUGAUAUUGCUAGUUUAUUCCUUGAUUAUGCAUUUCCUACUAAAAAUGUACCAGCUUACAACCUGGUUAACAAAAGCAUUUGCAACUCGGUGAUGUGAGCUCAAAUCAAAUAAGUCAUGAAAAGGAAAAAGAGCAUUUGCUUUGUUGGAAAGUUGUCUGCAAGUAAUAAGAACUAAGACAUAUAACAACAGAACAAAUAUAAAAUAGUACACACGCUGUUUUGAUGCUUUCGGCAGCUUCCUGAGAAUUUGGAUCACCUUCGACCAGAUAUAUCAGCUUUUGUAGUCCACAUCUCUAUGAAAUUACAAACAUAAAAAUGCAUUAAAAAACUCCAUAACGGUAUAAUCCAGUGAUGGCAACCCCACAAAAGCGUAGAAAUGAAAUUAAAGGCGUAUCUGUUCCUCGGCACAUAACACUUAAGUGAUUUAUCUCAUGCAGAUUAUCCUCCUCACUUAAAUGAACAUUUUGGUGGCCAGAAAAUGAUGCAGUCAUAGACAGAAGUAUUCAUACUGAUAUAAAGGCAACAUAUCCAUGCCAUCCUGAAAGAUAUCUAAGACAGAAAUAAUAUUGCAUCUUCAUCACUUUACUUCCUAAAUAGAUAGAAAAUCUUGGAAAAGUGGCAACUUUUAUUGCUUGCAUAUUUCCGGCACCAUCAUAGGCAGAAACAUGAAAUGGAUAAGGCAAAAAAUUAGUAAUUGUUCCAAAGACAAACAGCAAAAUAUGCAAAGCACUGGUGAAUAAAUUAGUUUACAAACAUUCCAUGGUAUAGUGAGCAAUGUAAAUUUGAUAAGUUAUGUGGGCAAGGUUACUUUGCAGCAUCUUGUACCCCAAACUAGACUACUAGACCGGCCAGCAAGUCAUAGCCAGAGUCUGAUCUGAUUUAACUUUAUCAAACUUGGCCCUAAACUUGCAAAUGAGUACAUGAUCACAUGCAUGACCCGAACAAGUUUUUGAUCAGAUGUUUCAAUUCAUACUCACAAAGUUAAUACAUAAUAAGGCUAGAAACCAAUAUUAGUUGUUAAAGAGAGGAUCAUAUAUUAUAAAAAAAUUGAUUGUUGAUCAAGAAAUAAGUAAAUAUUUCUAUUACUAAUUGACUAAAUAUAAACGUAAGUAACAAGCUUUGGCCCAUCUAUCCAGGUUUGACAUAUCAAAUGUGAGUCUCAUUCAGCCCUCAAAUCUUAUCAAAAAGCAAAACUCUCAAAGUGAACAGUCUUCAAGUAUAUGUACUACAUCAAAUCUGUCUUUAACACCUACUAAAAUUAGAGAUUGCAUGCAUGCACCUACAUAUAUUGUCAAUCUUAUCUUCUUCACAAUGGUGUGCCACCAAAGCUAUUAGGAAUAUGCAUAAUUUUUCAACUUUCCUUAAAAUUAAAGAAAGAAAAUGUUUACUAGGUAACUACUUAAUAUACCACCUUCACCCGAACAUGUCACUAUGUAAUAGGGUUGACUUUAAGGUAUUUGGCAGUUCUACAAAAUCCCAAAGGCAAAUUCCCACUUCAUCCACCAUAUAACCUAAUCCAAAUUAGGGGAAAUCUAUAAAUAACUUUCAACAAUAUAAGAAAUUGACAUAGAAAAUUACAUCACGAGUAAAAUCCAUAUAAACCCAGAACGAUAGACAUAAAAUCAAUUUGAGCAAAAAAAUAAAAAAUAUCAAAUGCCAACUUGUGUCACUAGAGGAUACCUCAUACAGAUGAUAACCAGUACCUGUAGCCUCAGUUUCUGAUCUCUAUACCGGUUGUCCUUGAUUGAACUGCAUAAAUCAUCAACUUUUUUCCUUUCGACGAUAAAGUCAAGAACAUACUCAUUAUUAGACUGUCUAUGUCGAACAAUCCAAAUUCCAUCUCCAAUAGGCAAGCGUCUAACCUGGGUAAAAUGCCACGCAUCAAUGCUCUACAAGUUAAUUGCUGGAAGUGUAUAAAGUAUGAAAAGCAGAUUACGAUUUCAAAAUCCAUGCAUAGAUCAAAUAUCCAAUAGGCAAGCGACAAACUCAAAUAAAUAAUUUAACAUGUAAAUCAUUGCUAAAGUUAUAAGCAAAGAGAAAAGAUUGCAUUGGCAUAAAAAAUGAAACAAAAUUUAGCAGUCAAAAGGCAGAUAAAUUGGUGAGUUAAGCCUUGCAGGCUAAUACUUAUUUUCAUUCUAAAUCCAGACACGAUUUGGAUUAUAACUAAGAAUCUAGAACUGGCGGGAGGUCUAGUGCUUGUAAAAUUGCACCCAACCAGAUCAUACCCAACAAAAUACAAGUAGAAAUAGUUAUAGGCACAUUAAAUCACCCAACGCUAAUCCAAUCAGACUUCACAAAAUGUUGGUUUUUGAGUCUAAUUAUUCAACCAGAUCAACUUAGGUAUAGUUCCUGAUCUAUUCUCAUAGUCAAUUCAGGUCUUCUAGGGCUGAAAUUGGGCCCAAGCCGGGCAAAUUCAGAUCAAGCUACGGGCUAGGCUCGAAAGAUUAUGGACUGUGUUUAUGCUUAAAUAUAGAGCCUAUAUGUUUUUCAGGCCAGGCUUGUGCAUAUCAUUAGCCCGGCCCGAGCCUAAGCCCAGACAAGGCCUGAAACGGAGCCCGAACUCAGGCCCGGACCCAGCCCGAACUCGGGUACUUAUUUAUGGACUACUUAGAAAAUAGGAAUAUUAUUUCCAAUUGUGCUAUCAAUUUGCUUUUCUGGUAAACAUGUUUCUAAUCAUCAGAUGGUUGCUAACGUGAAGCUACCAUAUUUCAACAAAAAAGCGUGAAGCAACAGAAUGAAAGAUUGAAAGAUUAGGCUUCAAUCGGGUUCAGGCCCAUCCCAAUUUUUAGCCCAAAUCGAUAUUCGGGCUGACCUAAUCGGGUUCUAUUGGGGCCUGGGUCUGGGCUCAGGUUGGGCUUAGACCAGGAUUUUCCAAAAGUUUUCAAGCCUAAUCUAGCCCAAAGCCCAAAAAAUAUUCAGGCCAGGCUUGGGUAGGGAAGCGGCCUAAACCAUUUUCAGCUCUAAGUUCUUCAUCCACCUCCACGUCCUGAAGCCAAAACCUGAACAAACAAGACCUACUUGAUCCCUAAGGCGAAAGGCUUCGCUUAGUUUAUUAACCUGACUUUCUGUGUCUUAGUCAUUUGUCACAAUUUACAUUGUUAUAUCAGUUGUCGGCAUUAGAAGUAGAUAUCCGGAUGAUUCAAAAAAGAAAUAUAUUUAAACAUGCAAUCAAAUAUCUGGCACAAGAAAACAUUUGUAAGAGCAAGACCAGUAUCAAAUUUCAGAUUUUAGUGAAUGAAGUCACAGAAUAGAUCACCCAUGGAACUCGUAAAAUACUGACCUCUACUAAGAUAUUGAAUUGAGAGUGUAUAUUAUCAACAACUUUUCUUGAGCGGGACCUACAACAUAAAGAGAAAGGGUGAACCUUGGCUUAAUUGGCAAUUGCACACUAAUUAAAAGUUCCAUGGAAACCUCAAGCUAUUAGUUCAUAUAUGUCCUGUUUCAUCUUGAGCUAUAAAUGCAACCAUUUCAUAUGUUUACAUCAACAUGGUUCUAACAAGAGGGGGCAAGAACAAGUUAAACUAAGAAGCAAAUAUCAAAGUCCAAUGCAAAAAUUGAAGAUGGAGAACAGAGUGAACUCUAACUUGAGAUAACUCCAAUACUGGGAUAAUUUUUAGCUGCAGGAAUUUAGCUGGAUUUCAGCCUCAAGAAAGCAAAUCUACCAAACAACAAGGAGCACCGAAGCUAAAAAUAACCAACUGAACAAAGUGAAUUGUACAUGAAGAGGUUAUCAUCACAUAAUUUUCGAAAGUUACAAGGACAUGAACAUGAUCUUGGUCAAAAACAACCUAUGGAGUCUAUUUUGAGUACUGGUUUCAAUGUUAGCACAAUCGCAGCUACAGCCACAAGCAGAAUUGUUAAGACUUACUCCAACAUAAUAAGUGUUAACAAAACUUAAGGGCGCUUGGGUCAGUUUUAUAAUAGUGAUAUAUGAAGAUUUCAAUGAGUUAGUUCUUCAACAGUUCAACUGGUAGAUGAUGCAACCCUUUCGCCACAUAAACUUAUUUCUUAUUCAUUAACCCAUUAAAAGAUGCUACUGCAUUCUAACCAAUUUCAAAAAACAAAUCAGAAUAGAAUUCUUUACUAUUUUUAUUUCUAAGAUUAUAAAACUCCUCUCCAUGAAGAUAUUAAUAAACUUCUUUCAAGCUAGGUUCCAGGGAUUCUACAACUACAAAAACAAAUGAUGCUCAGCCAUUGUAAAGAUCUUAAGUUGUAAAUUUCGAUGUCUCUUCUCAUUCUCUUUGUGAGUCUUGCAUUUCAAUUAGCUGCUUUUUUCCUCUUAUCUUGCCACACCAAGUCCCAACUAUGUUAGUAGAUCUUCUCGCUGUAAAGAUAUGACCACAUGUAGAAGAGUUAAUAGAGACAAAGUUCCACUUAUAAAUGACAAGAUACAAGGGUGAACAUACAUUCAUUCCAGUGCUUUUCCUACUACUUUUAAAAGCGAUAACCACAUCAAGCACAACAACAUAAAUAAAUUCAAGAUGAAUAAAUCUGAUCGAGAUACAGCAUUAGAGAUUUACUAGGGUAGGAAAGGAUGGGCUGGGUUGGGUUUGAGUAGGGUCAUGUUUGGACAACAUAUAAACCCACGAUGCAUACCUAACUUGACAUGAUAUCAGAUCAAGACCCCUCAAACCAUGCCCACCAGCAGCCAACAGCAAUGACCCAACUUGACCCUUUUGACUCAUAACUAAUCUAUUUAGCAAGGCUCAAUCCCUAAUGGACCCAAUCUAUAAUGUUCAGCCCAUCCUUAGAAUUUUUAAUGACUCUUUUUAAGAUGAUUUGAAUAAUUAGCACUAAAAAAAAACCAACUCAAAAUAUCAUUAUCCAAGGACAUUACUCAAUCAGAGUUAAACCUUCCCGACCAAAUAGGACUCUACCCUCAUAACUCAAGUCACAUCAAAGCUUUGACCCAUAUCUGACCUGUUUAAUAUUCAGCUUAAAAAAUUUAACUUACAUGCGACCCAAACCAAAAAAGCCCUUGAUGCAAACCCAACAUAAAUAGGGUAAGUUGGGACGGGUUAUCGGGUCAAGAUGAUUUUGCUACCUUUACAAUUUUCCAUGCUCCAAUACCAAGUGUGAUAAUUAUUUGAACAUGUCAUACCAUGAUGCGAUAUCGUGAGAUUUGUACUUGGACAAAAAAUUUUGACAAAAAAUAGACUAUGAUUAUUGAUGCACAUGUGUAUUUCUAUGUGCGGACUGUGUAGGCUUAUCUUUAGUCUCACAUCAGCUAUGCACCUAGUAAAUCUUGAAUACUUACACAGGGCCAAAAAACCCAAAUAACACCUUUCGGCUAGCUUUUUUAGAUGAGAUCCUAGGUUGUUAUUGAUAGUAUCAAAAUCGACCCAGCCAAUAGUCCAUGUGGACUAGAGGACACUACAGCACAAGCCCAAUUGGGUUGACCAUGGGCCAAUCAUGAUGUUUGUAAUCAGAUUUGUGGUAUUUGUGAUUGGAUUUGAAUGGAUUUGGAUCCCUAGCCUAGCAAGGAUGUCAAAGCUUAAACAGAGAGAGUGUAUGAGGAUCCAUAUGGGCAUGUAUUUAGUCUCAAAUCGGCUAUGCAUUGGGUAGAUCUUGGGUACUUAUAUAAGGCCAAAGAACCCAAAAGAUAAAUCGCAGCAAGCCUUUUUGGAUGAGGUCCUAAGUUAUUACAAAUCCCACAAAAUAUGCAAGGCAUAUUAAAUUUUCCAUAUGCCUUAGAAAAUUUUAAAAUAUUAAAUGUUCCAUAGCCACAAUGAUCCAACAGUCAUUUAGACUUGAUCAAAUGUCAAUACAUAUUUUUUCAAAAUAGAACAAUUCCUAGGCCCUAACUCUCCUUCUCUCAGCCACAUAAUCUUGUUCAUGCUAUUCUUCAGCAUGUGAAAAAAAAUAAAAAAAUAAAUAGUAAGCUAGCAACACUGUAAGUACCUCUACACCUCUAGUUGGAUCAAGCAAAUAACAUGCAAUGCAACAUAAAUAUAGAUAGCAUUUCCAAGGAUAUAAAUGCAACUUUUGGAAAAAAGUUUCACAUGCAACAUAUAAAUAAUCGAAAUAAAUUUACCUUCCAAAAGUAGCAGUACAGAAAUAAAAUAAAACUUUUAUGUAGCUAGUGAAGAAAAUUCUUUUUGAAAAAUCCACCAUUUUGCCUUUUCUUAGUCUUGGCAACUAAGACCACAAUUCACCCAGUGACAAGGCCCAAAUAAGACUAGCUCCUAAAAUAUAAUAUGCCCAAGAUCGGUAUUGUCAAAGAUCAACCCUAACUGGCUAGUCCCGAAAGAGACUAGCUCCUGAAAAUAUGAUAUGCUAGUGAUCAACAUAUGCUAGUGAUCGGCAUAUGCCAGCAAUCUGCCCUGACUAGCUAGACCCGCCAGGUACUAGUUCUAAAUCACAUGAGCAUACUAGCAAUCAGCUUCGACUGCCUAGGCCUAAAUCAUAUUCAAACAAAAGAGCAACCAAAGAUUAUAAUAUAUCAAUUUCACGCCAGUUGCUUUAGCAACAUAAUGUGGUAUUCCAAGCAUUCAGGAUUUUUCAAUUUUUUUGCCAUAAAAAGUCUCAAAACAUGCUAUGUCAAUAAAUCAAUAAUUCUUAAAUCAUAUUUCCAUCAUGAAAAUCUGACCAGUGUACACAAAGUGGUCUUCUACGCUUGAUCCAUUUUGUGAAAUUUAUUCUUCAAGCAUGGUGAUUUAAAACUUUUUUUAACUUUAUGGAAGCUAUGCAUUAAAUACAAGUAAAAAAUAUAUACAUACCCAUCCAGGUAUUAGAUGCAAAAAAAUUAUAAAUUAAAAUAUGAAUGCACCUACAAAGCUCUCGAGUGUAGACAUCCUUAUAGAUCGAGUACACGAAGCAGAGACAUUCUUCUGAGAAGGCUAUGCAUGACCUACACAGAACAUACCAAUAAUUAGGUUUCCUAAAAGCUUCUAAAGUUCACCAAAGUUUUACUUUAAUUCUAGCAUAUGAUGGAUCCCUUUAGGCUGUGGGACCCACCCAAAGCUCCACAAUCUAGGAUCCACCCGAAUCAGUACUGCCAACACAUCAUUGUUGCAUUGUCCCAGCUAGUGCUUGCACAUGCUAAAAGGAGCUAACUUGUGAUCUAAGGUGGAUUUUAGGUUCCCUAGGUGCCCCUGUCCUUUGGGCAUUACCAGCAGGGUUGUUGGAAUUCUCCCGUUGGUGCAUGCCACUGGCCGAUGAGGAUGGGGUAUGGACCUGCUUAUUUGAAGACUCCCAGCCAAUGGAACCAUUAGCAAUAAGGUAGAUCUCCUAGCACGCUCAUGUCCACUUCCUCAUGCCAUAUCAAUCUACAUUCAGUAACAUUAGCACCCAUAGGGUAACCAAAUCAAAUUAUUUAAUUACUAAAAUAACAUAGUUUACACACCUAUAUUUUUUCAUAUAAUAAAUAAUACGUCCGUCCAUUAGACACGCCUACACUCAUUCUAAGUACUAAAAACUCCAAGUAUUAAAGACUGUUUAAUUUAUUAAUAACAUCAAAUCUGAUAUUUUCUUGUGGAUAUAGGUUGAGAUGGCCCGACCUAAGACCUGAAAAUUGGCUGAUUUUGCUGAGGGAUCCCGAGCAGCCAACACCCAUUUCACUACGAGCACCUCCCGAGUAGUAAGCACCACGCGUACCCCUUCUACCUCUCGAAUAGUUGAUAGCUCAUCAAUAAAAGGGGAAGGUAGAUAAGGGGUUAGUUCUGCUCGCCAGCAAGGUGACACCCUCAACAUUGCCGGCAACAGUCAAAGAGCUAGUGAAGUUAUAUGGAACCAAGGUUAUGUAGCCAAUUAUAUUCAAGCACUGACAGGUUUUUUGCAGCAGAUACAGCAUUUAAGGCAACCAAAGACCAAGCUUGGCCAACCAUCGAGAACAAAGAAAGGAAUAGCCAAGUUUAAAAAGAUGGCGACACCCAUCUUCAAGGGAUCUUCUAAACCUACUAAGGCCCUAAUUGGCUGAAGAAGAUAGAGAAGACUUUCGCAACCAUGAUUUGCAAGGACUAAGAGAGGGUUUACUUCACCACCCACAAGCCUACGACUGGUGGGAGGCCAUCAACAGCAACAUGAGAACAACUCAGAGCUUAUUUCAUUGGAGCAUAUUUCGUCUAAAAUUCUGAGAUAUGUACCACUUUAAGAGCCUUGGAUACCGAAAGGCGAAGGAGUUUAUCAAGCUGACCCAGGGCAACAUUACGAUGACCUGGCAUGAAGCCAAAUUCAAAGAUCUAUCCCGCUUUGCCCCAGAUCUGGUGACCACUAAAGCAACAAAGGCUAGGAGAUUUGAGAGAGGAUUGAGGCCAGAAGUCGGGACUAGUUUAUGGCCAAUAGAUCUAACUACUUGCAGGGAAGUUGUGAACAAGGCAAAGUUGUUGGAGCAGCAAGCGAAAAAUGUUGAGAAAGCAAGGGAUCGCAUCCUAAAGAAGAGGCCCAAACCUAGUGGAUAGCAGGAAGGUCAACCUUCAGGUGACCAACCUUAGAGACAGGACCCUUUAGAAGGAAUGGCGGGACUCAACAAGAGAAAGGACCUUGGUGCGGCAGGUGCAAGGGUUUUCAUGUUGAGAAGGGCUGCCACUAGUUCUCUAGGGUAUGUUUCGAGUGUGGCCAACGGGAUCACAGAGUUGUCGAUUGUCCUGAACAUUGAGAUGGAUGAUAUGGCUAGCAUCGCCAUCUAUCAAUACUUGAGGGUCCUACUUCCCCUCCAAUGCCUCAGUCUUGUCCGGCUGCUGAGAUAACAACUAAACAGGUGAUAGGUCAUAGCCUAUCUCCAUUGUUCGUGGCCGCACUAUGUUGCCUCUGUUUUGCGGAGGACACUGCCACCUUUGUUACCUCGUCAGCCCAACCUACAGCCCACGUAAGCCUGGCUCAGUCAGUAAGCCAAGGCUCUCCAUCUCUCUCCCUCUCUCUAUCUCUCACUCAACCUAUCUUUCUCCCACUCUCUCUUUUAGUCCCUCUCUCGAUCUCAUACUCUCUAUCACUCUCUCCUCCACUCUCAGUCUCCUUAUUAGUCUUUGUAUCUCUCUCUAUCUAAUCUCUUUCUCCCCUCCUCUCUCUCUCUUUCUCUCUAACCCAAUCUCUCUCUCUCUCUCAGAUCAGGAGGAGACUAGGAUAUCCUAAUUUAGAGGAGCAUCUGGCUUAGGGGACAUCCCCAACACCCAAGGUAAUGACGAACCCCCUCCUUUCUCGCAUCGAGUCUCUCCUUGAAUCAGAGGAUAAAUGAUACCCCUAGGGGCUACAAUGGGUUCGGGGGUUUGUAUCCAAAUCUUGGCUCUACAAUUCGCAGAUUUGGUGUCACAAACCCUGAUAUGGGAGGAUCCUAGAUUGUGGAGAUUUGGAUGGAUUCCACAACCUAAGAGGAUGCCAUCCUAUGCUAGAAUUAAAGGGAAACUAUGUUAUACUUUAGAAGCUUUCAGAAAACUUAAUUAUUGGUAUGUUCUAUGUAGGUCAUGCAUAGUCUUGUCGGAAGUAUUUCUAAGCUUCAUGAAUUCAAUCUGUAAGGAUCUCUACACUCUAAAGCUUUAUAGGUGCAUUCACAUUUUUCACUUAUAAAACUCUUUUUGCAUCUCAUACCUAGAUUGGUACAUAUAUAUACAUACCUGUAUUUAAUACAUAGUUUUCCAUAAAGUUUAAAAAAAUUUAAAUCACCAUGCAUGAAAAAUAAAUUUUAAAACAUGCAUCAAGCAUAGAAGACCACUUUGUGUACAUUGGUUAGAUUUUUAUGAUGAAAAUGUGAUUUAAAAAUUAUUGAUUUAUUGACAUAGCAUGUUGUGAAACUUUUUUACGGCAAAAAGUUGAAAAUCCAUGAAUGCUUGGAAUGCCACGUGUAUGUUGCUAAAAAAAGGUGUGAAAUUGAUAUAUUAUAACUUUUGAUCAUUCUCUGGUCUGACUAUGAUUUGGGCCUACCCAAUCGAGGCUGAUCACUAGCAUGUUCAUGUGAUUUAGAACUAGUUCCUUUCGAGCAUAGUUAGUCAAGGCUGACCGCUAGCAUAUGUUAAUCAUUGGCAUAUUGUAUUUUUACGAGUAAACUUCUUUUGGAACUAGCUAGUCGAUGUUGAUCACUGGCAUGUUGAUAUGAUUUAGAGCUAGUUCCUUUCAGGCCUAGCUAGUCAGGGCUGAUUGCCAGCAUGCCAAUCUUAGGCCAAUUAUAUUUCAAGAGCAGACUCAUAUGGGCCAUGUCAUGGGGCAAAUGGUAGAUUUUUCAAAAAAAAUUUCCUUCACUAGCGGAAUAAAAGUUUUAUUUUAUUUUUGCACUAGUAUUUUUGGAAGGUAAAUUUAUUCUGAUUAUUUAUAUGUUGUUUAUGAAACUCUUGCCUAAAUGUUGCAUUUAUUUCUUUGGAAAUGCUAUCCAUAUUUAUGUUGUAUUGCAUGUUAUACACUUGAUCGAACUAGAGAUGUACAGAUAUUGGGUAACUGGUUCACUAUUUAUUUCUUUUAUUCUUUUCAGAUACUGAAGAAUAGCACGGACGGGAUUAUGUGGCUCACAGCAAGAGAGUUAAGAUCUAGGAAUUUUCCUUUUUGAAAAAAAUGUUAUGUAUUGACAUUUGAUCAAGUAUAGAGACAAUGUCUAUUGGAUUUAUGUUGGUUAUGAAACUUUUAAUAUUUUAAACUUUUUUAAGUGCUUUAAUUUUACCACUACCUAAUAUUAUGCAAGAUCUAUCCAGAACAUUUAAUAUCUCAUGUAGGCCUUGGAUAUCCUAUAGGUCAGACCCUAUAAGGUGUGCGACAGUCUGUCACAUGCCCACUCGUGCUAGUAGAAUGAGGUGUGACAAUCUAUCUGCCAAACAUCACAAAAUAUUGCAUGGACAAAAACGUAAAGCAAUAUUCUAUCAUGAAAUAAAUAGGAUGAAAAAUAAACUAAUUGUUAUAUCAACAAAAUAUACUUUUUUUAAUUUGGUAUACCGACCCAAAAUUUUCACGAUCAUCCAGUAUCAAGAUAACAUCAUAGGUGUCCUCAAAUCUCUCCCCAAAUUCACAGGGUGGCAUUGCAAGAGCUUCAAUAUCUCCUUCCAUAUCAUCAUCAUCAGAUGUUUCGUUCACUGGUAUAUCCUGAGCAGUCAAUAAUAAGUUGUCUUCAUUAAUUUUCAAUAUCAAGCUCUUUAGAAAUUUUAAUAACUAGCACUCUUUAUAAAAUGGUAGCUCUUUGGCUACUUUAAUCCAAGAUGACAGAAAAAGCAACCAGUUUUUGUGUUAUGUGCAAAGACAAUAUACCGAUGAAGUGCAAGGCCGCAGAUGGAACGAGUCCGGAGCUGACUCUGCAGAAAAUGGAAGUGCGCAAAUGGGCAUGCCACUGGAACUAGAUUUUGUCCUAUUCUCUGCAUCACAUACUACCGAAAAUGAAUUUUAAAAAAAAAUCAUAAAAAGCUACAUCUCAUUAAAGGAAAUAGCACCUCUUACAGAAAUACUCGGGAUUGUUUCUGAAAAAUUGUCAGGAGAAUGUGCAUACCUUUAGACGUGCAGGCAGUCAGUGUUGGAAAACAAGCCUUCUCAGCAAGUUCGGAAGACUCAGAAUCCGAAGAAUCAAUUUGAACACUUUGGAAGUUCUGUAAAAUGUAGGUCAAAGUGAUGAAAACACAUUUACCAGGUCCCAUUGUUUUACAGAACAAAAUUAACCAAGGCUUGUAAUGCCUGCUAAAUGUAACUUUCAUAAAGGCCCAUAGCACCUUACAAGCAAUAACACAAAAUUAUACUCAAUACCAUGCAAAACCACCAAGAAAACAAAUCUAAACUUUUUUUGGUAAAUAACAAAUCUAAGUUUUCAAAUCUUAACCACUGCAGCAAUCUAAUGGAAAAGGAUAAAACUAGACCGGCCCAACAUGCUUAUUUGCAGAACUUUUAAAAUGGACGGAGAUGCAACCAUCUAAAACCUCAUUCAUCACUAGAGAAUACAAAGGGAUGCCACUCCCUUCAGAAACAUGUCAGUCUGCAUGUUUUUUAACUGAUGAAGUAGUUGAACUCAAGAAGAAGAAUUAGUGCAAAUGUCACAAAGUUGCAAUUUCAACGGUGCUGUUAUUGAUGGGAGAAAAAUCAGGUUUUGAAGAUCGGUCAAAGAGAAAAGGACACCAGUAAUACAUUACAAUAGAAACUCAAUGUUUAAAAUCUUCAAAAGCUGAUCUGUAACAAAGGUUAAUGCUUGAACCACCAGUUCUAAUCCACCAAAAAAAGCACCACCAAACACA